GGCCGGCGCACGGUCGAUAGCUGCCGCGGGCUCGGGCACGGCCAUGUUGCGCGACGCGUGCACGCGCAAGCGGCUUCGACGCCUCGUGUGAGUGUUGUGCUGUGUGGACGCUCGCCCUCGCUGUCGCCGCAGGUGGCGCGGCGCGUCUUGUGCUUUCGGAUUUUUUUUCCAAGUAUGCGGCUGUCUAAUGGAGUCUAGCUUAGGCGUAAAGAAAGCGGAUACAUGUCUUGCGCUGGAUUCAAACGCUAUGCUAUCUGUCAAACGUAAG